AACAAACUUUACUUUUCUAUGAUAAAGUACCAGGCACCACAGGUACAGGUUAAUAAUGCUAAUGGGGGGUAUGGCUAUCAAGAUACUCGGAUGCAGUUGUAUUCACCUGUUAAUACUCUGGAAGAGCAAACUAGGCAAUUUUCUCUAAAUAUUCCUCGUGCAAGGGAAGAAACUCUCUCCAGACAUUCUAUUUUGGGCCCGAAUGGACUUCGUGGACAACACCCAGCUCCUACCUUCAAUGUUGCGGUUCGUUAUCCAAGCAAUAUAGAUUUGUCACCAU